rnacentral:rRNA from 1 species
GACGAGCGCUGGCGGCGUGCCUAAUACAUGCAAGUUGAGCGCUGAAGGUUGGUCCUUGUACCAACUGGAUGAGCAGCGAACGGGUGAGUAACGCGUGGGGAAUCUGCCUUUGAGCGGGGGACAAAAUUUGGAAACGAAUGCUAAUACCGCAUAAAAGCUUUAAACACAAGUUUUAAGUUUGAAAGAUGCAAUUGCAUCACUCAAAGAUGAUCCCGCGUUGUAUUAGCUAGUUGGUGAGGUAAAGGCUCACCAAGGCGAUGAUACAUAGCCGACCUGAGAGGGUGAUCGGCCACAUUGGGACUGAGACACGGCCCAGACUCCUACGGGAGGCAGCAGUAGGGAAUCUUCGGCAAUGGACGAAAGUCUGACCAAGCAACGCCGCGUGAGUGAAGAAGGUUUUCGGAUCGUAAAACUCUGUUGGUAGAGAAGAACGUUGGUGAGAGUGGAAAGCUCAUCAAGUGACGGUAACUACCCAGAAAGGGACGGCUAACUACGUG